CUGCUAAUGUUUGUAAAAGGGGGCACCGGCGGUGACCUCCAAGACGCUGGAUCUGCCGUGGAAACCAGAGGGAGGUGAGGGCGCCAUUUCAAACCGAAUGAAAAUGUCACCCCAUUAGGGCGUCUAAUAAUAUCUCCUGGUUCCUGUGAAUCCGAGUCAGUCAGAAAAGCUGGUUUUAGAUGCAGGGUGUCAUGAAUAAAUAAUUUCCUCCUCUUUUUGGUGCACACAGAGACAGAGAAGGGGGGGCUGAUUGACAGAGACGUGUGAUGCUCUCUGUGAGGAGAGUCUGGAGUUGUUUCAAUGAGUAUGCAGAUGCACGCCGCUCAGCAGACUGUAAGCUCCUCGCUCGGAGAUCUGGGACAGCUGUGCCUGAUCUCAAAUGUUACAUCUCCACUCAGACACCAC